CACAGUAUUAGAAAAACAUCCGUCUGUAAAAUUCUUUUUAGGUUUUCAGUUUCUUUUUAGUUAUUGAUGUUUCCUCCAGUCAGAGAAAAGAGCGAAAUUCCUGUCCUGGUAGUCCAUGAGCUCAGCUCAUAACUCUCAUAACUGCCAGCUUAACCUUUCUGUUAAUAUUUCUGCUUUCAGGUGCUCUUCAUUGACCUUACAGUAUUAAUAGAUUUUUUUUUUUUUUGGUACCAGGGAUCAAAAACUUGCACUUGCCAGGCAGGUACUUAUGCUGCUGAGCUAAAUCCCCAGCCCUAUUAAUAGAUUUUGACUAGGCUUUGUCCUUAAGAUAAUAUUUGUUUUCUGUACACAAAGAAGAAAGAAAGAAAGAAAGAAAGAAAGAAAGAAAGAAAGAAUCAUAUGAAGUUUAAUUAUACUGCAAUUUGAUGCAAACAUGUCUGAUGCUUGAUGAUCAGGCUAUCAAAGAGCCAAAUGAAGAAUCAGAAAAGUCUGCCCUGAAGGAAAAGAAAAGGAAACGUAUUCCGGGCUGAAGGAUUGGUAUGAAGAAAUGUGAAAGCCAAGAAUUUGCAGAGGGCAUUCUAGAAAUGGUGAAUGAAAAACUGUUAAUAAACCAAGCAUAAAUUGGCAUUCCUGAUUUGCUACCUAUUUUGGAGGACUCUCUGCCAACUGAUAUAUCAAAGGUCAUGUGGAUGGUCUCCACCCAAAACAACAGACACCAGGAAGAAGUGAAUUUUGGAUUGAUUUGAUGUUACAUUUUUACCUACAUUGUGUGAACCCAGCUCAUCAACAUCCAAAUCAAACUGCUUGUAUAUAGUUCUUAAUAAAAAAAAUUCAUUAUGUAAA